rnacentral:rRNA from 1 species
AUGGAGCUCUUCUCCGGUGCCGACAGCAGCAAGUCCAAGGGCAAGACCCCCGCCGUCCCUUUCCCCUCUGAGUUCGUACCGCCUCCACCGGCGCCGGCUCGCCGGCAGAGGGUGCGAGUGAGCGUGCCAAGGCACCAGGCGGAGUGGCACUGGCAGCACCGCGUCCCUCUGCCGUACCCCGACGUCACCCUGCCGCACGACUGGCAUCUGGAUCCAGAGAGGAUCCCAGUGCCGGCGGCCCCGCGGUCGACUAGAGCGCACACGGAGGAGGUGCGGCACCGGCGGGCAAUGCUGACGCCGAAGCAGCGCCGCGACGCCACCUACGCCACCGACUCGCCUAACUGGACGAGGUGGGAGGAAGACCAGGCGGCCCUUGAGGCGGUCUACCGCGAGAGCGAGGAGGACGAGCGGCGCAGGGUGGAGGCGAUGGAGGAAGAGGAGGCUCGCUACGAGGCGGCCAUGGUGUAG